CCUACGGGAGGCAGCAGUGGGGAAUAUUGGGCAAUGGGCGCAAGCCUGACCCAGUAACGCCGCGUGAAGGAAGAAGGCUUUCGGGUUGUAAACUUCUUUUCUCAGGGACGAAACAAGUGACGGUACCUGAGGAAUAAGCCACGGCUAACUACGUGCCAGCAGCCGCGGGAAUACGUAGGUGGCAAGCGUUAUACGGAUUUACUGGGUGUAAAGGGCGUGUAGGCGGGAAAGCAAGUCAGAUGUGAAAACCAUGGGCUCAACCUGUGGCCUGCAUUUGAAACUGUUUUUCUUGAGUACUGGAGAGGCAGACGGAAUUCCUAGUGUAGCGGUGAAAUGCGUAGAUAUUAGGAGGAACACCAGUGGCGAAGGCGGUCUGCUGGACAGCAACUGACGCUGAGGCGCGAAAGCGUGGGGAGCAAACAGGAUUAGAUACCCUAGUAGUC
rnacentral:rRNA from 1 species